GCCUCGGCCCUGGCCUACCACGAUGGCGUCGCUGGCCCCGGUGGACAGGUAAAUGUUAUUGGGGUCCGCGGGAAUGCCUCCGUCGCGCCGCUCGAUGUACCUCGCUACAUCCUCCCGGAUCAGCUGGAUGCCUGAGCUGAUGCUGUAGGCCCCUGAGCCAGGAGGCGGGGCAGAGCGGGUGGGAAGAGAGGACACGUGAGGUCCCUUAGCAGCCCUCCCAAAGAUCUCCGCCCCUUCCAAGCGGGUGGGCGGAUCCACCCCUCCCUUGGGGCAGCCUCCCUCCAGCUCCUGCUCCUCCCUGGGGCUUUGGCUGGUUGGGGCACUGGCACUUACCCAGGCUGUGUCCCCCGCACGCCUGCAAGAUACGCUCAGCCCUUCUCUUGGCAUCCUCGGGGAAGUCCGGGCUGUUCAGGAGAUCAGGGUGGACGCAGAGGGCCAGGACCUGGGAGGAGCGAAUGCUGAGGCCCGAGCACGUGGGCCGAGGGGGGAGAGGCGCCGGGGCAAUGGCGAGCCAGCCUCACCUGACGCAGGAAGGUGAUGGGCUUCUGCCCCAUGGCCUGUGCAUCCCCGAUGUUGGCGCGAAUGACCUCAGUGAAGGGCUUCUUUACCCCCUAAGAGGGAGGGGGCACAGGCAGUGAGAACGGAGCCUUUAUUACUCUGGCAGGUCCUUGUCCUACGUGACUCUGGGGAGGAAUGGGGCCGACUCAGCUGCCCAGGUGGAGCCUGGAGGACAAUGGUGGGGCCCAGAGCCAUACCUGCCGCAGCUCCUGCUCCAGCUCAAGGGCACGCAGCACGAUGGGACCUCGCACCGCAUACUCCACCUUCCGAACACAGGGGUUCAUGGUGUCCAGCGUCAGCACCUUCUCCUUCAGCCCGUUCAUUGCAACCUGGCUGUGGUCACCUGCCCUCAAGGCCAUGACCCUACUCAGACCAGGCAGGAAGGUCAGGAUGCGGCAGGAUUCAGAAGUGGGGAUAAGGGUAGCUGGGUCCGGGCUCAGUGGGCUGGGGCUGGGAAGAGGGAGCCUGGGUAGGGGGGCUCAAGGUAAAGGGCACCCUCUUCACUGCAGCCUGCUGGCCCCACUGAACGGGACAGAAAAGGCUGAAGAAGGAGCUGGGGCCACUGGGCCCCGCCCCACCAGUCUGGGCACAGUUCUGCCCCAGGGAGCCAUAGGGAGUGCAUGAGGAGGCAGGCGGGGCUUGGGGCGAGGCCCAGUGCCCGCCCAGUGGCGCGCAGUGUCCCCACGAUGGGGGGAGCAGGAGACCUACGUGGGGGGUAGGGACAGACAGAAGGUUCAAGAAGCUCUAAGGGACUCAGCCUGUGGGGGUGGGGGAGGUGCGCUGAGUGCCCUGAGGGGUUGGCAGGGCUGAGCAGGGCUAAGCCCCGAGGGGAGACGGAGCUGGGGCCUCUGGAGAUUUACCCCAGCAGGGCUCGGCCAGGGCCGAGCCCUCUCAGGCCCCCCAUCUUUGCUUGGGCUAGCAGGCCUGUCUCCCAGGCAACUGAGCCAGGCCUCUAUAGAAUCCUGGGGUUAUCGGGGGAGGGGAGCAAAAGCUCAGACGCAGGGUUCCAUCCGGCCCCUCCCAGGCUGGCAACCAUGGCCCAUAGGCUGCAAGAGCCCUGUGGUUGGACCUUGGUCCCAGAUCAGCAACUGGUAGAGGCCAGAGUCUCCGGGCUGACGUGUUGGAGGCGGGGGCAGGGCAGCUCUGGGCCUUUGGAGGGCCCUCGGACACCUGGGACACCUGGGACACCUCCACUGCUCUUGGUGGCUGUCCUGCCCUUUCACCAGGCCCCAGCCUAGAGCUGCCCUUGGGUAUCCACACCACAGGCCAGGUGACCUCAGUUCCCCUUCCCUGGAGCUCCUGAUUGGUAGAGACAAGGGGAAGCAAACAGUGAUAGGCCCUCUGAGCCCCACCUUCCCAGGCCCUGAAGGGAGCUGAUAGGCCAUGCCCAGGGGUGGCUACCCCAACUGCUGACAUCUGACAAGGUCAAGGCACCAGCCCUUUGACAGGGGCUGUGGGCAGCCGGUCAGGCCUGGGCUCCUUGGCUCCCGCUGGCUGGAAAGGGAAGAACAGGACCCCCAAGCAGCCAGCCGGUGUCUCACCUCGCACCCCUCGGCUCGGCUCUGUGCUACCUCGGGCCCCCAGCGCACAGGCCUGCCCCUCCAGGACCCAGCAGCCCCAGGCGGAGCCGGCCCCCUCCCGCCCCUGGCAGGAAGGCCCAAGUGGCAGCUGUGUUAGCAGGUGGGCCUUGGCAGCUGCACCGCCCCACACACUAAAUUUACCCAGCAGCCUACCCGCUGGCCCGCCCCAGUCCUGCCGAGGACACCCCUCCAACCACUGAUGCUCAGGAAAGGGAGGGCCCUGCAGACACAAGGCUGACUGGGUCAAUAUCCACUGGGGAGGAGAAGGUGACCUCAGCCCAUUUCACCCAGCUCUGGUGGCCAUGCAAAGCUGCCCACCACGGACAAAUGAGCUGGAAGUGCCCUCAGCCCUCCCACUCGAGGCCCCUAAAGGGCCCCUGUCACCCUGACACAUCGUGCCCAGCCAGCUCAGAAUCUGGGCGGCCAACCACUGGCCCCCUCUGCCAGCCCAGGCAGAGGCUGGCGGCCAGGUCCCGGGAUCAGGGCUACAGGCCAGGAACAGGGGACUCAUCCCCCAGGGAGGUUUCUGACUCUGGCCUUGUACUGAUUCUCCCCUCCGGCUAUGGCUCGAGUCUUGUGGAAACCCCCCCCCCACCUGCCCUUCCGAGCCAGGAUCCCUGCCCCUCUGGCAUGGAUACCCCCAGCCGUGACCCACCCCCCACCCCCCACCCCCCGCCCCCUGCCAAGGAAUGUCCUUCCAGAGCUCCCUGCUCCUCUCAGGGAAGUGAAGAGUUACAGAGGAGCCUCCAGGAGGCUGAGAGGCAGGGAGGAGGGUGCAGCAUAGGCCAGGCUCCUCGCCCAGUGGCCGUGGGCCUCACCCCUACGCAGUGCCAGGCAGCCACAAGCACCUACAGGCCCCAAACAGGGACAGGCACACCCAGGAACAGCAACACGGCACUCCCCACCCUCGGGACAGCGGCCCGGCUGACACACACGACAAGGCAGGUGGCAAAACAGCCCUUUAUCAAGUCACAGGAUGAAACUAGGUCACUGCAGCCAGGAGCCCCCAGGAUGGCUUCUGCCACAGGCUCAUCCCUGAGUGAAGACGCUGGCAUCCUAGAUGCAGGAAACAGGGAAGGCCCUGCACCGGCCGCCCCUGAAUAGCAGCACCGGGCACACACUGGGGUCUCCGGAGCGGGGUCCCGAGGUAGCCUCUGGCUGGGCCUGGCAACGGGACCCUCACCACUCUCCGUGCCAGCCCCUCACAUGAGCAGGCAGCACGGCCUCUUCCCCGUGGGGGCCUCCUCCGAGGGUGCCGUGAGCUUAAGCAGGGGCGGAUCUCCGCCAGCCCUGGAGCUGCGCUCGGGCUGGGGGGUCUCGGCGUCCACAUGCAGGCCGGACUCCGGGACCUCGGGCCCCUCGGGUGGGGGCCGUUGCAGCUUGGCAGCAGCUCGCUGGCGCUUCAGCUCCGCCAGGGUGUGGUGGGCCUUGGCCCGGGCCAGGGCGUCAGGCGCUGUGCCGUCCAGGGGGCUCAGCUGGUAGGAGACACUCCGGUCCAGCCGCUUGGAGUACAGGUGUCGCCCUGGGGUGCCUCCAACUUGGCCGUUGUGUGGCCUGGCCAACUCGGGGUCCUCCUCCUGUUGGGGAAGCGUGGGCCCAGAGGCCAUCAGGAAGGCCUUCUCUGGCCUCCCUUGGCCUUGGGCCCCAGCAUGCACGGUGGUCAGGGGGCAGAAAUGAGAGUGGGGGCGGGAGCCGCCCCUGUGGCACGCUAGCCCGGUUUAUGGGCACAGGGACACUGCUCCCGCCGGCUAGGGAGUCACCAAUGUCACCACCCAGAGAGGGCAGGGCCUAGGCCCCCAGCCAGCAUGCCGGAGGUGGACGGCGCAGGGCUCACCUCGCCGGACGUGGGUCGCAGCUCUGCAUCCGUCUGGCCGUCUUCGUCCUCCUCGGGUGGUUCUGGGCUGGUGGGUGGUGGCUGUUGCCACACGAUGGCCUCCUGGGCAUGCUCCCUGCGGUACAGGCUGGUGCGCUGGGUCAGGCUCACCCUCCUCACCACCUUUCUGGGGGAGGGUCGGGGGAAAGGCUGUCACUCGCCCCGCAGACUGCCCAGAGCUCCAGCUGGCACCUGAGCGCCGCCGGCGGGGGCAGGGGUGGGGGUGGGGGGGCGGGAGGGGGGUGUCUGCCCGCGGAGGGUAGGACACCGGGGUCGACUGCGCGCUCACCCCCGGCUGCCCGCGCUGGAGGUGCGGCGGCGCAGCAGAGAGCGCUGGCGGCCCUGGGCGCGCAGGAGCGCAUCGUGCUUGUGCUUCAGCUCCAGCAGCUUGGUCCGCACCUCCUCGUCCCCGCACACGUCUGGGGAGAAGUGGGUGGUCACCGGUGCCCUCUCAGCCACCCUCUACAACCGGCGGAGGCGGCCCCAGCUCACCAAGAGGUGUCUCGUCCAUCAGAGACCUCCCGUUCAGGUCGGCCCCAUGCGCCACGAGCAGCUCCACCAGGUGCACCUGAGGGGCCAGCGAGCCCGGGCUGCUGAAGGCCUCAGAGGCAGGAGCCGCCGGCCCGGGCCCGGCUGCCCCCGCCCCCGGCGCUCACCUGGCCCCAGUAGGCAGCCGCGUGCAGCGGCUCCCAGCCGUCCUGGUCCUUGGCGCUCAGGCUGGCUCGGUGUUGAAGCAGCAGGGUGGCCGCCUCACUGAACCCGUUGGCGGCAGCGAUGUGGAGCUGCAGGCACACCGCCCGGCCCUGAGUCCCCGCCACGCCCCUCCAGCGGCCACCUCCCGACCUGCAACCCACGUGGCCCCAUCGUCACCAGCGUGGCCCCGUGGUCCCGGGGGGCGUCGAUGUCGGCCCCUGCCUGCAGCAGGCUUCGGAUGUCGUCCAGCAUGCGCAGCUCCGGCAAGGCCCGGGCUUCCUCGAUGCCAUCCUGGGUAAUGCCUGCAAGGCAGCAGGGCUCAGAGCUGGCACCCGGGCACCCCGGCAGGCAGGUGGGGCCGUACUCACCGCGGUCGGCCAUGGCUGUCUCAAGGCAGUCCAGCGUCCGCUCAUCCUCACACAGGUCGUAAGGCAUGUUCCCGUCAGUGUUGACGGCCAGGAGGUCAGCACCACUGCACGCAGAAUGGACAGGGGCUUUGGCCACAGAACGCUUCUCCCCCACGGAGGCCUCCAGUCCACCCGCUGCAGAGGCCCUCGGCCUAGGGCUGCUCUCCUGGACGGUGUGGGUUGAAUGUGGAGGAGGCCCAGGCCCCCGGUGCCCCUGGGACCAUCUGGCUGUGGACCUCAGCUCUGGAUCCUGUACUCACGCCAGGCAGGCCACCCCCCAGUCUCCACCCACGUCUGAGCUCCAGGUUCCUGACACCCAUCUGUCCCUGUCAACCUGCACAACGGGCCCACGUACCAGGGGGCACUGCUGGGACUCUAGAAGCCUUGGGGAGCAAAAGACAGAGGGAGGAGAGCCCAGAUGACAGAAGACAGCUGCAGAGAACGGGGCUCAGGCAGGAACAUGGCCCCAGGGAAAGACAGGGAGCUGAAGGGAGCCCAGAACACAAAGGUGGGCGCUCGCUGUGGAGAGGAGCAGGGAGGGGGUAGGGGCUGUCUGUGCACAUCCAUCCCUCCUACUCUGCGGCAUCUGUGUGUGAAGGGGAGAGACUGCCACCCGCCCACACACCCACCAUCAGCACCUGGACCACUCCGAGGACAGCCUGGGCCCCUGGCCGUCUGCUCUACUACAGGGGUCCCUAUGGGGGGAUUCCUGGAUGCCCCUUUCUGUUCACCAAGGCCUGUGUCCGAAGCAGCUCUGCCCUGCUCCGCCCUCCUUGUCAAAGGCCCCACCUCCGUCUUCACCACUGCUACCCCCAUCAUUCUGCCCAGAGUGGCAGUUCUCUGGGCAGACCCCAGGGAGGACCGGAGCUAGAGGUCAAGGCCUGCCCUCAAGGAGUUCCCAAACCCCUAAGAGUGCUCGGCAGGAGGGUGUGCCCAGGCCGACAGCCUGCCGGGCAGACAACCACACUGCCCUGGGCACACGCUUGUCCCCUUGGCGUCAGUGUCUGCAGCCUCUGCCCAGGCCCUGAUCUCCACCAGCAUGAAGUCAGGGUAGGCAAGGGUGAGAGGGAACACAAGAGGCCAAGGGCCAAGUGUGCUUCCUGUGGAGGGGACAACAGGCUCGUGUCUCAGGAAGAACUACUAUCUGCGAGGAAGGCCCUGCCCGCUGGCCUGGCUACGGCCCCUCCCCAGCUCUGGCCACACCAGCGGGGCCCUACCGGGCAAUGAGCAGCUCCACCAGGUGCAGGUGGCCACAGGUGGCCGCGGCGUGCAGGGGUGUCCAGCUUUCGCUGUCACGGGCGUUGACCUCGGCCCCGGCGUCCAGCAGCUGCCGUACCACGUCCCGGAAGUCAUCGAUGCAGCUCU
rnacentral:lncRNA from 1 species